rnacentral:rRNA from 1 species
CCUCGGGUGGCAGCAGUGGGGAAUAUUGGACAAUGGGCGAAAGCCUGAUCCAGCCAUGCCGCGUGUGUGAAGAAGGCCUUCGGGUUGUAAAGCACUUUCAGUGGGGAAGAAAGCCUUGGGGCUAAUACCCUCGAGGAAGGACAUCACCCACAGAAGAAGCACCGGCUAACUCCGUGCCAGCAGCCGCGGUAAUACGGAGGGUGCGAGCGUUAAUCGGAAUUACUGGGCGUAAAGCGCGCGUAGGCGGUCUGAUAAGCCGGUUGUGAAAGCCCCGGGCUCAACCUGGGAACGGCAUCCGGAACUGUCAGGCUAGAGUGCAGGAGAGGAAGGUAGAAUUCCCGGUGUAGCGGUGAAAUGCGUAGAGAUCGGGAGGAAUACCAGUGGCGAAGGCGGCCUUCUGGACUGACACUGACGCUGAGGUGCGAAAGCGUGGGUAGCAAACAGGAUUAGAUACCCCAGUAGUC